CUAGCUGUAAACGAUGGAUACUAGGCGUUGAGAGUAUCGACCCUCUCAGUGUCGUAGCUAACGCGUUAAGUAUCCCGCCUGGGGAGUACGCGCGCAAGCGUGAAACUCAAAGGAAUUGACGGGGGCCCGCACAAGCGGUGGAGUAUGUGGUUUAAUUCGAUGCAACGCGAAGAACCUUACCAGGGCUUGACAUGUCCGGAACCCUGCCCAAAGGCGGGGGUGCCUACGGGAACCGGAACAUAGGUGGUGC
rnacentral:rRNA from 1 species